GGAUCGCUUUUCACCCACGACCGCGCGGAUAGGCCCCGCAAGCUCUUCCAGUCUCGGCGAAACCCUAACCCCAGUCGAAUUCGCUAGUUUCGUCGAAUGGCGUCCAGUUGCGUGCGAUCCAUGAGCCGCCGCAUCGCUCUGUCUUGCCUCGGGUCACUCGGUGUCAGAUCGAGACCCGUCGCCGCCGCUCCGUGUCCGAUCCGCCGCUUCUCUACCCUCUCCAGGAUUCCUGUCGAGUUGGGGUGCUGCGGCGGCUCCCUGUUCCCGUUGCACAGCGCGGUGGCGGCGGCGAGGCUGACGUCGCGUUUGAGCGCCACCUCCCGCGGCGGCCGGGCUCUCUCACAGGGUAUCCUCCGCCGCACCUAUCCCGGACUCUAGUGCUGUCUUUGUUCUGUCAGUGUUUCCAGUUAUCCAUCACAUUGAUGGUACAUGAAGCAAAAUUGCUUCAUCCUUUUGCUAUUUUCAAAGAGACGGGUCUUUCGGUCGGAAGGUGAUUCUUGAAGUCUGACCACACAGUCGGAGUGUCUUUUACCUGCUCAAGGAGGUGGGAGGUGCACGAAUUUGUAGAACUCGGACAUCGAUGAGUUCAAAUUUUACAGAACAAAGGAUGUUAAAUAAUUGCUGAAUUCAUAGUACCUCAAUUCCAAACGACCUUCUAUCUUCUUUUGUGCUGUAUUUUUUUUCCCAUCCAUAAUUUUAGUAUGGUAUGCUUACAAACCUGUCAGCUUGAA